rnacentral:rRNA from 1 species
CAGCCGCCGCGGUUAAACGUAGGUGGCAAGCGUUGUCCGGAAUUAUUGGGCGUAAAGCGCGCGCAGGCGGAUAGGUCAGUCUGUCUUAAAAGUUCGGGGCUUAACCCCGUGAUGGGAUGGAAACUGCCAAUCUAGAGUAUCGGAGAGGAAAGUGGAAUUCCUAGUGUAGCGGUGGAAUGCGUAGAUAUUAGGAAGAACACCAGUGGCGAAGGCGACUUUCUGGACGAAAACUGACGCUGAGGCGCGAAAGCCAGGGGAGCGAACGGGAUUAGAUACCCCCGUAGUCCCUGUCUCUUAUACA